AAAUUGUAAAUGCUUCUCAUACCUGAUGGGCAGAACAUGUAUACUACUGGCAAGCAGUCCUGCUAUGAUCCCAACUCCUGAAAGCUACAUGAAAAUCCAAAAGUUUGCAUCAGUGGGGUCGUGAGGUCGGGAGAGAGGUUGCAGUUGACUACAUGAGAAUGGCCUGCUCAGCCAAUUACUGGUCAACAAUUUUCUCUGUGUCAAAAUAGGACUGAAUUGGAGAUCAGUUGGGACCGGGUGCAGUAGCAUAGAAGGUGAAGUAACCAUUGCCAUUGCCACAGAUGUCAUGGAGCAUUUGGGGGUUAAAAAGAGACAGCCAUUUAACAACAGUUAAUGAGAUAACUGUAGGAGUUGCUUUUGGUAACAGUUGUGAUAUGGUCUAGUAUUUUACACAAGACAAGAGGAAAACACCACCACAACACAAAGCUGAAUAUUCUGUAGUUUUUU